CAGAGAGGUAGCAGGAACGAGAGCAAACACCAGGAUUAUGCCAUCAGCUACAUGGGAAUGAAGACCCUCUCGUUCACAGGCCAGCUACUUUGCAGCUUCAGAUGUUCUCUGAGGAGUGUAUCUGGGCCCCUUAGUUUGCAGAACAGGGAGCCUUCCAACCACAUUGUCAGAGACUGAGACACGCAUCCUCAGAAUUACAAAGAAGACAAGGCUACCAUUGUCGCUAAACCUGUUACUCUUUCCUGGUCCCAGUUCUCACUGCGUCACCCCAAAUUUGUCAAGUACUUACUUCACCUCUGGGGUAACUGGAAAAUGCUGCUUAUAACUAAACAUCUGGCUUGGAGAUGUGGACCAGUAUGGGGACCCUUUCAACUUCUGAGGGCUUAGCAUGUCACUGUCCCAGCAGACCAACAACCAUGUAUCAUGAAAUUAUUUGAGGGUGUCAUAGGUUGAUCCCCUAUGAUCAGAAAACAGGAGCUUUAUUAAGGACAGUAUUUAGGAACAAUAUCUGGAAAGGACAGAUAACACAGGUUCAGGCAAAAAGACCAACUGAACAGCAACAUGACAGUGUCAGUUUAUCCUCUGGAGAACUCUGGAGCUGGGUUAACCCCUCCAGGGCAUCCCACCUUGAGACUGCCCUCCCCACAACUACCAGUCAUUGAGAUCUGAGGAGUUGGGGCUUGAGGCUUGGGGUAACUUGGGCUGAGAGCAAUGCCCAGGCUCAAUGAAGAGCCAUAAGUAGCCAUCACUCUUAGUACCUUGGUGUGGUGGUUGAUAUUGAUUGUCAAUUUGACAGGACUUAGAGCCAUUGAGGAGACAAAUCUUUGGGCAUAUCUGUGAUGGAUUUUCUAGACUGGGCUAAUGGAGAUGGGAAGGCCCAUACUAUAUGUUGCCAGUGCCGUUCAAAGGCUGGAGUUCCAGAGGAAAUGAGAGAAGACAACGUUAGCAUCAGCAUCCGUCUCUCUCUGCCUUUUGACUACAGAUGCCACCUAAUCUUGCCAUCCUGCCUUCAUGAUGUAUCUUGUUGGACUUAAACAUCAUGGUAGACUGUUCCCUCAAACUGUGGGCCAAAGCAAAUCCUCCUUCCUAAAUUGUUUUUGUAAUGUAUUUUUUUUCACAGUAACAAGAAAGAAACUAAUAAUCUGGAAGAAUGAGUCUCUCAUUUGCAAAGAAUGAAGGACCAAGCAGACUACAGGCACAGUCUCCUGCAGGAUGGCCUUGAUGGAGGCACAGGAAACUUGGCUCUAUGAAGUGAAGAGCUCAUCCAGAUGACAUUAUUCGUGUCCUUGUGUGAAUUAGUGCCUUAGCCAGUGAUGCGUCCCAGAAACCUGAGGGAGAGCUCUGCCUGUCUCCAGCAGUGCUGGAGGGAUGACGAAUUUAUUCCACACCGAUGUUUAUUUGGAUUCUGCCACACUCUUCUGCGGCAUUUAAUUGUCAUGGACAUCAUGUAGCAGGAGGCAGCUGAGAGAUGGAAAUGAGCUCCCAAUUUGUCUUUGGAAAAUUUUCUCCAUUAUGAGCCUAGAAAGAUUAAAGGGAUAAUAACACCUUAUACCCAUAUCAUGCUUUCCUCCCAGCAAAGAGCUUUCAUAUGCACAUUAUCUUAUUUGAGCCUUGCCAUAGUCCUGUGGGAUAGUUAUAAUUGGAAUUAUUAUUCAUUUUAUGGGUAAAAUAACCCUCUAACUAUGGAAACUUAUGCCAUCUCCUUAUUCAUUUUUAUUUGUAUUUUUUAUUAACCAAUAACAUUUCCAUUGUAUCAGAAUUCAAGAAAGGGGUUGGAGAGAUGGCCCAGCAGGUAGGAGUACACACUGGUCUUGCCCAGGACCUCAACUAGGUUCCCAGUACCAAUAUCCAGGAAAUCACAGUCUCCUAACCCCAGCACCAGGGGGUCUCCAUCAUCUCUGACCCCACCAUGGCACCUUCACUCACACACACACACACACACACACACACACACACACACACACACACACAAGCACAUACAGCAAUUGAAAAAUAAAAUAAGGUUUUAAAGAUUUGGGGGUCUAUUGAAAUGACUCAGCAGUUAAGAGCACUUACUGCUCUUGCAUGGAGUCUAGAUUUAGUUCCCAGCACUCACAUGGCAGCUCACAACUGUCUACAACUCAAAUUCCAGGGUAUCUGGUGCCUUUCUCUGUCUACCUCUGUGGGCUCCUCCAUAAACUCAUACAAGCACACGCACAUUAAAGAGAUAAAUAAAUAAACACACAUUUUCUUGAAAUCCAAGAACGGCAAAUGAAGCGUAAUGGCAACUAGAGAACUCCCAUUUUCAGCCCUGUUUUAGAACAUCUUUUUCCCAGUGCUGCAUUCACAAUGCUCGAGUUAAGUAAGACACUGACAUUAAGCUGCCACCAAGAGAAGCCAACAGAAACUGUCCACUUCCAUGCAGCUUGUACAGGGCAGUAAAACAAGUAAACUAAAAUCAUAGUUUGUGUGCAGCUAGCAACCCAAUAGGGGCUAUAAACUAGAACAGGACUAAUAUAUACUAGGGAGAAAUGGUCGUGUUUGACAAGGGUUCAGAGGAGGCCCAGUUGCAGCAGGCGUUGCCAGAGCCUGUGAGAGCCUGUCCUUAAGAAGUAACAUUCCCCUCAAGCAGGUGGAGAAGUAUCAGUGUGACCCUUGGGCCUAACAUUAAUCCUGAGCCGACUGAGUGAGCUCCAUGCGACUGAGCUAAAAUGAGGCCUGAACAUUCACUAUGUUGCUGACGCAUCCAGAUCAGGAUUUAGCUCCCAGGCUAAAUGCCAGUCAAUCACCUGAACAGCCCGUGGCAGCCUGUUCUUCCCCUGUUCUGUUUUGUAAUGGUAUGUUGUGUUCAGAACAUUUGCGUUGGAUUUGAUAGGACUGGAUUAGAAUAAUGUCUGAUUGCAGCUUUCCUCCAAGGAAGAGAGUCCUCCAGCUGGGCUCUCCACGGGUCUUGGGGAGUAAACUCGGAGGAGCGAGCAGCUGUGUUCAGCGAUCCCAUUUGCACACAGGUGAUACAUGGGCUGCACCUAAGGGAAGCAGCCGGCCUCUGAAUAGCUGCCUAUUUGUCUUUUGUUUUUGUUCCACCGUUAUUCUUCUCCUGGGGGAGUAUUACUAAUAGGAUUAAUAAAUGAAAAAGAUAAGUGACUGGAACCCUGAAACAUAGGUUUUCCAGGAGUGCAAUUAAUCACUGGCUUUGGAAGGCUAAGUCAUGUGACGUCAUCUGUCACAUGACCACUUUCCAUGCUGCUAAGAAGGAAGGAAUGCUUUACAGCCAUCUGGGGCUCUUAGGAGUCAUCUCAUUUAGGGGCACAGAUGAAGGAGGAGGUGCUGAUCCUGGGAUUUCAAAUAAAUGCCACCAGUGGCACUUGACACAGGAUCUUCUGGUCUGGCCUGUGGAGAACUGACAAUUGAAGAUACACUUGCUCUUCUGCCGGGAAACUCAAUGCUAAAACUUUUUUGUUUGGGGUUUUCGAGACGGGGUUUCUCUGUGUAGCCCUUGCUGUCCCAGAACGCACUCUGUAGACCAGGCUGACCUUGAACUCAGAGAUCUUCCUGCCUCUGCUUCCCAAGUGCUGGGAUUAGAGAGAAGUGCCACCACAAUAGCUCAUUUCUGAAACUUUAAAGUGAAAUUUCUUGAGAAAGAGAUCUUUUACAAAUUUUUGGAUUGGCUGGAGAGAUGCCAAAACUCUAAGUAGUCAUUUGAAAUUGCGGGGUCAGGAUUUGAAAAGUGUGGGGUUGGAGAGGAAGCAGGUGAUAAUUUAAGAUAAAGGCAGAAGGCCCUUAUGCAACAAUUUUGGGUGAAUGGGGUGUGUUUCCAGCCCUGACUCUUCUGAGGAAGUAUUUACCAGCUGAGUUCAUGUACAUUCUGCAUGUACAUUCUGCUGGAGAAACCCUGUCCUUGCAGCAUCCUGUGGUCUAGCAGAGAUGCUCUGGACGGCAGUUAAGAUCUCAAGUCCUAGCUUUGAGCCCACCAUCUCCAUCACCAUGGAGGCUAUUUAUCAUCUCUGCCCCUCUGUUCCUUAUUGAUCAAAUGAGAAGACAAGUGAUCUGUCUGCAGAGUUGCUCAAUAUUUUAUGAAUGAGUCUAUCUGGGGAUGGAAACUUUAUGAAGGACUCCAUUGCUAAUGCCUCCUUUGGCAUCCCCUGAAGUGUGAAGGAAACAUGCAGUGAUGCCCUUCCUGGGAACCAUUCCUCAUCUAAGAGGGGAACAUGGGGGCCUGGGGAGCUAAGGAAGAUCACCAGGAUCCUGCACUUUUUCCAAGGAGGGCAAGCAGGUGUGCCUUUGCCAGUGGUGCUGGAGGGCUGAGAAAUCCCAGGAGACUGCUAGACAUGCCAGCUACAUACCACUUCUUCUCGUCUCUUCAUCCUUUCUCAUGCCUUUCCUUGUUAACACUCCCCUCAUCACAAAUUUCUGUGUAGAAAAAAAAAUCUCUUUAGGACAGAGGAAUUCUAGAAGGAACUCAUCUUGAGACCCAACCAAGAAACUCAAAUGUUCAAGGUUGUAAGCAAGAGAGGGGAAGCCAGUCCACCUCUUCAGGGUGAGCAGGAGAGGAAGCUAGCCCACCUCUUCACAGUAAGUAGGAAAGGGAAGCCAGACCACUGCUUCAGGGUGGUGGAGAGAGAUAGAUAUAAGGUUGAGGGUGGGCUAAAAGUAGAAGAUUCCAAAGAGGCAUGAUAUCAGCUAUAGGGACCAGAUUUCUCAAGUAGCCCUAAGGUAUGUUUUUUUCAGAGGACCUGAAAAAAGACAUGAAGUCAUGAACACUGACCUGCUGUUGCUGUUGAAGAGGACAAGUGUGGCUGGGGCUGUAUUCCUCCAAAAAGGAGUCAAGUCCCUCAGAACCCACAUAUAUCACAGAAAGAAAUGAGCUCAUAUCCUCCAUCCAUCCGUCUGUUCGUCCAUCUAUCCAUCCAUCUGUCCUUAAAGCUGCUGCUGAGAGUGUGCUGUGUGGCUGUAUCCUCACAGAUCCAACAAGAAGCAAAAGGCUUGAAGCCCCCUGCCUCUAGAGGGUCUAAGUUCUACUGAGAGAGAUGGACAAUUAAAAGACAAUGGACAAGAGAGGAGCAAAUGGUGAAAAGUGUUGGGAGGAAAACAGAGCAGAGCAAAGUGCUAGAACAUAUCGAGAAGGCUGGUUUCUUCCUGGGACAAGAUGUGAUGUCUGAAUCGAUACCGAUGUAAGAUGAGAGAAUAAGCCCUGGACAUCUCUGGAGGAAAACGUAUCCUUGUGCUGUAGGAGCAAACUUCAGGAGACGUGAGGCAAGAGUGUACCUUCUGUGUUCCAAGAUAGCAACAGUGUGGUUCCUGGAGAGGGCAAGAGGGAGGGAAGGUGACAAGGAGGAAGAGGAUGAGGAGAAAGAGAGCGAGAGAUAGACAGAGAGAGACAGACAGAGAGAGACAGAGAGACAGAGAGACAGAGAGACAGAGAGAAGAGAGAAGAGAGACAGAGAGACAGGGACAGAGAUGCUUAGGAAGCAAGUCCUGAGGGCCAUCAGACUAGCCCCUAGACCACAUGAGAUCUUGGGUUCCAUUCCAGAUGUGCUGGCGAGGGCGUGUCCUCUUCCUGCCCAGGAAGUCACUCUGGCUAGUGUGUGGAGAACAAUUAGAGAAAAUGGGUGGGAACUAGAGACGGCUGGUUGUUUAAGUCCUCCAGGCCAGUCCUCCAUGCUCACAUCUUAGAAAUAUUUUGAAGGUGAAGCCACCAGUCCUUGCUCACUGGUGAGUUAUCUCUGGAUUGUGAGAGGAGUAGGGCAUGGCUCCAACGCUGGAACCGGGCAACAGGGCAAAUGCCAGAGCCAUUCAACUGACCCAUUCAUUGAGUCACAGGAGAUUGGAGAAGCAGCAGUUCAGAAGGAGGUGGAGCCAGCAGUCGGACAUGGGAGGGCUAGGGUGACUUAAGCCUCCCAGAUGAGAUGCUAUGCAGCAGGCUGAGGUCCUAGGAUUGUACAAAGAGAUUCCUAAGUGAUAUAAAUGAUCACCCUAGGGGAUAAAGGAGAUUUUAAUUUCUAAGCUUUCUGGAUACACUCAUGUAUAUUAAAAGGUCAAUGUGUCUAUGAUCGGCAUACUCCACUUUGUGAAUGGAUGUCUGGAUAUCUGAGGUAGAGGUAUGUGUAGAGACAGGAUCAAUUCUCUGACUUCUGGCUCCACCCAAACUCCAAAAGUAACUUCCCCGGCACAGAAUCCCUCACUUCAAAGCAAUUCUAACCAGGUAUUCCUGCUGGAGAAGAGCCCAGGACAUAUGCACAGACCCCUGUUCAGACCAUAUGCUCUCCUGACUGUGGGGACAUUUCCAGCUUGUGGUGCCCUCCAUGGUCCCCAGCUUCCUUUAACUGUGGCUUCACCACUCAAAUGGAUGAGCUCUCCUCUGACACCUCUCUUAUGUGCCUAUGGUCACUCAAGCCAUCUUCCUAUUUUUGUCCUGGGCUGUGCCUGUGGCUCCUUCCUAGGCUCUGAAGUCCCCCACCCCACAUCUCCCCAAGACCUGUUAUUUCUUGCCCCUCACGGAGUUUGGCUAGAUCUCAGAGGAAGUACCCUUCAUGAAAAAAAUUUCCACUUAUGCCUGAGAAGACAAUGGUCUUUCCCCAAGAUUUCCAGUGGUGAUCUGUCAGGUGAUAGUAAGUCACAAAAUUCAGAAUCUAUAGAGAUUUCUACUGACCCCAAUGGACAAAAUACAAAGACAGAGACUCUUGGAGUACCUUUUAGUUGUACUUUGAAGCUUCCUUAUAGGAAGAUAGCCUUUCCUCUGUGCAAGCCCAUAGCCCUGACUAUUGAGCCACCUGUGGAGUUCUUCAUCCCUGUCAAUGGUUCUCACCCUAUGGGUUGCAACCCCUUUCGGGAGGGUAAACAAAACUUUCACAGAAGUCACCUAAGACCAUCAGAAAGCACAGGUACUUACAUUACAUUCAUAACAGUUGCAAAAUUACAGUCAUGAAGUAGCAACAAAAAUAACUUUAUAGUUGGGGUCACCACAACAUGAGGAACUGUAUUAUCAAAGGGUCACAGCAUUAGGAAGCUUGAGAACCACUGAUCUCUGAGCUUACAUCAAUUUUAUAUUUGGUCCAAUCAUUCGUGGAGACUUUUCAGUCCUAAACAUUCUAAUGGCCUCCACAGAAUGUUUUGUAACCAUUCCCUACAUCCACAAAAAUGUUUCAGAGAAUAUAUCAGUGAUCUGGUCUGAGUGAAUAGGACCAUGAAGAGUCAACUAGAAGAAAAAAGUCUCAGAAUUAGAGGAAUCUUUUCCGAGUGUGCAAAACACAAGUGGCAAUUCCUAUGUGGCACUAUGUUGACAUCUAGUUGGUGCUCAAAAUUAAAAGGAGCAGACACAAAACUUUAUAAAUCAGGAGAGAGAGAGAGAGAGAGAGAGAGAGAGAGAGAGAGAGAGAGAGAGAGAGACUGGAAUUCCUAAAAAGAAACUUAAAAUGAGGAUGUCCUGAGAAAAUGGACAGAAACAUUUAAUUGAGGUAGUGGUUCCAAGCUGUGUUCAGAGUUAUGCAACAUGGCUUCCAUGUUUUGCAUGCUGAGGCUUACACCUUCAUUGUGCUGGCUGUCCUUAGGGACACUCCCACACUAAUGGAGAUGCAGCCUUGUGAUGGAGUCUUUGUUCCCAUCUUUGGCCACCCUUGGGAGUCUGGGUUUGCUCUGCAAAAGUCUUUGGUUUAAUUUUCAUGACCAAGGGUGACUGACAGCUGGUGAUGGGUGCAACCACAGCCUCUUUUCCUUUUAGUUAUUUCCCAUAGAACAGUUUCCCCCUAUGGGCUGCGUUUCCUUGUUUUCUUUCUCUUUGUUUGUGGGUCAUUCUUCUGUCCAUUAUUUUAUUGUUAUUUUUAAUCAUUUUAUACAUGUAUACAAUUCAUCAUGAUUCUUCCCCCAUUACCCUCUGGCAUGCUCCUAUCUUUCCUUGGGAGCCCCUUUUUCUGUCUACCUAAUUACCCAGUAGCUAUACCAUUAGAGAAAAUGCUACAGUGGCCUUGGAGGAAAGACGAUGGUAUGGAUACCUACUUUGAAGCCGAGGACACCUCAGUCUCUCAUCCUCAGCACUGUGACCAGCUACAAGUCUCUGCAUUAACCACCACUCUCUGCAAAUAGAGUGUCUCUGUAAUCGAUUAAAAUUACUAUUAUCCGGGAGUUAACGGUUGCUGUAAACCCCACAAGAGCUCCAUGAACCAGGAAGCCAUGCUUCCAAUAACACUAAUACUUUCUGGAUUUCUGUCUUAUGCCCCUACAUAGUAAAGCGAGUUGUCAAUUUGGCCUCAGCCCUUAUCGAUCAGUAUUUACUACCUGAUUGAUUGACUUCCUCUCAGACGCUGUCCCUAGAUAUACUACUAAUUAGCUAGUAUCCUUAAGUUAGUCAGAUAUAGUUUUUCUGACUCUCAGUUCCAUUAAAAUGACUUGUGAUUUGUGUGUGUGUGUGUGUGUGCUUUGUUUUGUUUUCAUUUUUUUUUUUGAGACAAGGACUCAUGUAGGCCUGGCUGGCAUGAAACUCAUCAUAUAGCUGAACUCUUAUCCUCUUAACUUCAAUUCACAAGUUCUGGGAUCAUAUCGCCACACCUGGAUACAAUUAACAAUGUUAAUGCUCUCUUCCAGCUUUAAAUUACUAUGAAAUAUCUUUUCCUAUCAUGUUUUUUUGAAACUAGUCGUAGAAGUCCUGAUACCUUUGACUUGAUCAAUACCCUCACUGUCCAUGUACAAAGGCAGUCAAAAAAUAAAUAAAUGUUAGCUUUGCAGAGAAUCAAAGAUGGAGAAGACCUGGAAAUGAUGACUCAGUUCUCCAGCCAAACAACUCAUAUAAAUGGGCUAAUGGUAGCCUUUGAUUGCCCAAGUCAAUUAAUAGUUUUGUUGUGGGAUAUUUGUACAAUAGGUGACGAUGUAUUGUUGUGAUGGGUGUCAUAAAACACUGAAUGGCCAGUAGCUGGGCAGGAGGUAUAGGUGGAACUUCUGGGGAGAGAGAGAACUCUGGGAAGAAGAAACAAGGAGUCACCAACGAGACUCAGAGGAAGCAGGAUGGGCUACUGGGAGAAGAGGUAACACCAUGUGGCAGAAUGUAAACUAAUAUAAAUGGAUUAAUUUAAGUUAUAGGAGCUAGUUGAGAACAAGCCCAAGUUAAGGCCGAGUUUUCCUAACAACUAAGUUUCCAUGUUGUUAUUUAUGAGCUGGUAAUCCAGAUGAGAAAGUACUGCUACAGACUUUAAAGAGACUUGAGAAACAUACUCUCUUGGCUUGUUCAAGAAAAUCCAUGGGAAGGGGAAGCAGAAAUCUAGAAAGUCAAUAGACGAUACUGUCAUUGUUUCUAUUUUCUUUCUCCUAUUUUUAGAAAAUAAGAACCUAAGAGGGGCAGGCGGAUCUCUGUGAGUUCAAGGCCAGCGUGUUCUACAGAUUAAGUUCCAGGACAACCUCCCAAGCUACAGAAAAACCCUGUCUCAAAAAUAUAAAAGAAGAAAAGAAAAAGAAGAAGAAGAAGAAGAAGAAGAAGAAGAAGAAGAAGAAGAAGAAGAAGAAGAAGAAGAAGAAGAAGAAGAAGGAGAAGAAGAACCACCUGAGAGGGGCUUGCUAAACAGGGUCUGAUGGCUUCCUUCGUCACUAAAGAGCCACCCUGGUCCUUUUUCCUCUGCCUUCCUUUCAGCCUCUUUUCUUUCCCUCCCUUCUGAAUCUGUUGCUCUUUCAUCACUUACUGUGGUUUAUGAUAAGAAAAUUCAGCUUACAAAGAUGGCUAAGAAAGGACUCUUGGUGGCAUAGUGAAUAGAUUAACACAAUUCUCUGUUAUGUGAUAUAGAAACACAGGAUGAGACAAAGUGAGGAACUGACGACAGCCUCAAGAAGCUCUUCCCAAUAUACACACAGACACACAGACACGCACACACAAAUAAUAAAUUAUAUUACAAAAAUAACUGGCUGCCAUCCUAGAGGCCUCAUCCAGUGGCUGAUGGAAACAGGCAGACACCCACAGCUAUACACUGAACUGAACUCUGGAACCCAGUUGCCAGGAGGGAGGAAUGAAGAUCAAAGGGGUUGAGACCAGGCUGGUGAAUCCACAGAGACAGCUGGCCUGAACAAGGGGGAGCACAUGGACCCCAGACUGCUGUCUGGGAGGCCAGCACGGGACUGAUCCAGACCCCUGAACAUGCAUGUCAAUGAGGAGGCCUUGGUGCUCUAGGGGGCCUCUGGUAGUGGAUUAGUAUCUUUUCCUGGUGUAAGAAGGGAGUUUGAGAGCCCAUCCCACGUGAAGGGAUGCUCUCUCAGCCUGGACACAUGGGGGAGGGCCUGGGCCAGUCCCAGGAUGAUGUGGUAGAAUUUGGGGAGCCCCUGUGGAGGGCCCUACCCUCCCUGGGGAGCAGAGGGGGGAGGAGGCUGUUGGGGAGUUGGGAGGGAGGGAAGAGAGAGGGAGAAGGGAUUGACGUGUGAAGCAAGUUUGUUCCUAAUUUGAACUAAUAAAAUAAAUAAAUAACUGGCUGCAUAAACAGGAUCAAUAUGGGUGCCCGCCCCCAUUCAAUAGCUUCAACAUCUGCUUCCCAUAGUGUUUCUCAGAUACUCUCCUCCACUCCUUACCCUGCCCCUGCAAAGUUAAACAUGUCCCUAAAUGACAUUGUGCAGUUUCUAAACUUAGCCCUCUUGAGUUCUAUUUGUGUACUUGCAACCUCACUAUUCUGGAACUCUGUCCUGCCCGAGUCCUCAUUGAGCUUAGGCAAAAAGGAGGCGGCCCUUUGUGUGUUUUGUUUAUGAUGUGUGGCUUUACCUGAAUGCCCCUCCGGUGACUUUGGAGUCACAGCAGAAGUCUGCGGAUGUGAGAUGGACAGUAGAUGUCCUUAGGAAACUGAAGAUGUACAUUUCUAAGCCCAGGAGGCCUUCACUCUGGAUUUGCUCAAAUUCUAUUUUUACUUCAUUGAUUUUAGCUGCAGCUGGGACUAUGUUUGCCCAUUCAUUUAGAAAUCCUUCAUUUCCCUUCCUUUCCUUUAUGUUUUUCUCUGCUCUGCCCUUGAAAGUGGAAGUGAAUUAUGACGUGUCUGCUGCUCAGCAUCGAGGCUCUCAGAGCCUUCCUUCCUGGGCACAGACAGAUGUCACAGCACCACUGGCCUGCCCUGGGAGAACCACUAGGAAAUCAGCUUUGCUGAGAAUGCUGGCCCCCAAACAGCACUGUCUGCAAAGAGAAUGCUGGGUUUGGGGGGCCUCUCUCUGGGCUUCACUGUCCCUGGGCUUGGAAUUUUCUGUCCUGAAUGAAUGGUUACCGUAAGAAAUGAAUGAAGGGGCUGGAGAUGGCUCAACACUUAGGAACACUUGCUCUUUUGUAGAUGACACGGGCUCCCAGGAUCGGUUCUCAGCACCCGUAUGUCGGCUCACAGCUGAUGGCUACUCCAGCUCCUUUGGACUCAGGAACCUCUUUGGGCCUCCGUGGGCACCAAGUAUGCACGUGGUGCACACACAGAUACUCGGGCAGAACACAGGAAGUAAAAUAAAGCAAAUAAAUCAACCUUUAAAAAGGUUUUCUGUUGUUGUUGUUGUUGUUUUUGUUGUUUUUAUGAUCAGAUGAGAUGGUGUAUGAAAUGGUUAGUACCGAAGGGGUAGUUGCAAAUUAUACCUCUCCUUCCACUGUCUGCGGAAUCUCUGCAUUACGGCUGGUAAGGAAGCAGGCAAAUGACUUCCCAUAACUGAGAAAUUAUCCGGCUCUCCCAACUUGAUUGUCAUUUAUCCUCAUCCUUGGUCAUGCCUGGAAGCCAGAAAAAAAAAAAAAAAAUCCCCCAAAUCCACGGUGAGCGAGAGAGGAUAUCUAGCCUCUAUUGCAGGCAACCUGAUCCUCAUUGUGUCACUGUCUGUCUGAAUCACCAAUGUUAUAGAGGAUGAAAAGCAGAUAAAACGAAAUUCACACUGAACCAGCAUCGCAAAAGUCAGAACUUCCACCCGACCUGCCUGGACACCAAACAAAGUAGAGCAAUGCUGCCCCCAAGGGUUCGUUCUUUGAAUGACAGCUUUAACUGUGAUUUUUCAUGAACUCCACCAAUCUAAUGGUCAGCACGGCUUCAACCUGAUCCAAGGCCCUUGUCAUGAAAGCAUAGGGGUGAUGGAACCACAUAGCAUAAAUAAAACAUCAAAGUACUGUGCUGGUAGUAGUGUCAAGCAAGACAGUAGGGCACAGUGGCAAAAAUGAAUCCUCUUUAGAGAGAGAGAGAGAGAGAGAGAGAGAGAGAGAGAGAGAGAGAGAGAGAGAGAGAGAACCACCUUUAGUGACGCAGGACAUGUUUUGAAACUGUGGUUUUUGUACUACCCACAUCAGACUCUCUGGAGAGUUCAGUAUAGAUGCAGACUCCUGGUCCCCUACUCAGGGCUCUGCGGGAGGGGAUGGGGAGUCUGUGCUGUUAAUGGGGUGCCUUAGCCCCAGGCAGUUUAAGUUUGGGACCAGAAGUGACCAGAGGCCAGUUGAAUGAGCAGCCAUAAAAAGUCGUUGACUUACUGUAUAAAAUGAGAAAGUGAGAUGAACAGCCAGGAGGAGGAGUGAUCAUGUCUGAAGGAAAGGGGAGGCUUAAGGUGGAAUCUUGAAGAGAAAGAGAGGCUUAAGGUGGUAGGAAAAGACCCUUCCCAAUGACUUAAAGCUGGAGGGGACCAUUAAAACUAUGAAUUAUACCUAGAUGUGGCCAUGUGAUUCCAGCACUUGUGAGUUGUAAGAGUCACCUGACUUCCCAAGUGAACAGACUCCUUGGCCCAAGUGGGCUCCACUCAUCCCCAAAGAAGAUACAGGGGAUGCUGUUCUUGGUGUCUGCUUUCUUCUGAGGCCAGCAAGGUGCCUGGCAGACGACACUCACAUAUCUGAUGACUGCAAUGAAUGCAGGAAAGAGAUGUGCAAAUGUUUAUGUGCCUUCCUUUUAAAAAUUUUUAUGUGCAUUGGCUUAUCAUUAUUGUUGUUGUUAUUCUUAAUGUGCCGUGUGCCUUCCUUCUAAUGGGCUCCCUUUGGCUCCUUCCUUGGAGCAGGCCACAGCACCAUGUGACCUCAGCUCGAUUCCUGUCAAGUGUGACAGGUGAGGAGCCACAGUGGAAUGGGAGCCCCAAGGUGCCCCACACACUGCUCAGGUGGAGUCUUGGUGUCCAGGGUGGACCUGUUGGUGGAUGGGGAAUGGAAAAACAAACACAAUUUUCCAUUGGUGACAUCUGCCUAUUCCUAUCCCCCCAGUGGCCUAUUUCAAGACAUAACGUGGCACCCUGAAUAUCAGUAUUUCAUCUAAACCAUAGAUUGUGUGGACUGAUGUCUUCGGGUGUAGGAUCGGAACCAGCCAAACAACCCUGGGUCCGACACUGAGUGGGCGAGUGUGGGACGAGGGAAAGCUAGCUAUCUAACGACAUUAAAGAAGAGAUGGAGACAUCUGAUCAUAACAGGAGAGCAAUCAGUCAAUACUGAAGGCGCCCAGUUUAUUGAUGCAUCAUCUUAAGUAACCAUCCAAAGGUGGGGGCAAUGGCAGAAGACAUCUGUUAUCAUGUAUAAAGGGCUGACAGCAAUUAUUUUCCUUAAUUCUAAAGACACUCCUUUGCAGCACAUACUCAAGCCUUCAGGCACCCCACACCAGAACAUCUCACCAGCCUUCAGGGUGGGUAUAAACUCGUCCUAGCCCAAGUCUAUUGUUAUUUAGAAAGGAGCCAUUCUCCACUGAGACCAGGAUACCUAGCAGCUAUUAGCUGACAUCUAAAAGACAAUAGAAAUUCUGGGCUCUCCUGAACUCAUGGCAGGGUGGAAUAGAUUUCCAAAAUAUAGGGUCCCCCAACACAUAGAUAAUAGUAGCAUACAAGACAAUCAUUAGGAAGUGAUGUUUUGAGUAUGCCUUGACUGUUUCAAAUAUAGUGUGUUGAAUUUUAAAAUGUAUGAACUUUAAUUUUUAAAGCAAAUCAGACUUUUUGCAAGUUUCCCAUAAUCAGCUCUCAUGAGCCAGUGGGACUAGUUCUGGUAUCCAAUCAUCAUCCUGAGCCAAUAAUUAUUCUGCCAUUAACCUGGGGCUAAAGAUAGAAGCCAUGAGAAGUCUUGGGGAAGAGGCCAUUGAUGGGGCUGAUGAACCCAGCACUCAUUUCUGGGUUCCCAGGCCACCACUGAGUGACAACCGAGCUUUAGUCUUCCUAAGACCUGGCCUUUGCCCUCUUGCUCUUUUUAUUUUUCAGGCCUGCCCUGGCCCCUCUGAGUCCCCUUGGAGCUACAGUACAGCUCACCCAGUACAGCCCUGGCCCCAAGGGAGUGUAUUCACUUAAUGUCUCCCAGAGAGCAGAGAAGGGUGUGUCCAAGGCCUGCCUUCAUGAUGCCAUUACUAGGUUGUCCAGCUUUGGAGUCUCUGGACCUCAGUUUCCACAUCUGUAGGAGAAAGGGCUUGAGACAUAUGAGCCUGAAGUCUCUGCCCAUAUUCCUGUUCCAGCAUUGACACAGCCAGCUCAUCUUCAAGAUCUGGCCUCCCCAUUGUACAAAGGCUCUGAAGGCCUUCUGACUGGCAGAAGAGGCUCUAAUGCGUAGAAAACUUGACUGGGAGCCCAAGUGUCCAUUCAUGGCAGGAGUCCAGCAGCAUGAAUAGGAUAUCCGGAAAUUCCAGAGAUGGGCACAUCUGUGCCAGCAGGCUGGAGCAGCCCUGGGGACCUCAGCCUUGGAAAGUUCCAGCCUUUCCCAUCUCUCAAGGGAGAUGACUGUGGUAUAGGAAGUCAUAGGGGAGAGAGGGUGGUAUAAAUGCUAUUUUAAAUGGCAAAUUUUAUCAUAGGUGAAUUACAUUCCAUCAUAUAAAAGCAAAUGAAUAUUUAACAAAUGGAGAAAAAGAAGAGGCUCUUAGGGAUAGAGAGGGGUGAACGAAUAUUCUAGAAGUCCCUAUACUUAGUCUUAUAGAAAGUUUUCCCUUUGGAAUUAGAACUGUAACAACAUGUUUCUCUAGUGCUUGACCCAACCUAUGAGAUGAUCAGACCUCCAGGGAAACUCAGCCACCCAGUGCUAGCAGAAGAGUAAGACAUGGAGGAUAGAAAGUCUACCCUUGUCCAAAGUGAAGGAAAGUGAGAAAGGAGAGAGGGGGGAUCCCAGUGCCUCUUGCUCUAGGCCUCCCAGGACUUCCUUUCCACAGGACACCGCUCCUGGUUUCUGAGGUAGUGCCUGGCAGGGAGGGCUCUGGGCCCCUUCCUCCAGUAACCCAUAGCCACUGUGGAAAAAUCCCCUUUCCCUUUUGUUGAGCUGGGGCUGAGAUGGAAGUUUCCAUGGGGAUUUUUCCUCAGAACCAAAGGUGGGUAGCAAAUCAGCACAAGGUCAUUAGAAAAUUCCCUGUUCUAGAAGAGUGUAGAUUUCCAUGGUGGUGGAAGCACAGAGCCAAGUUAAAGGGAAGGCCUAGUGGGGUCCCAGUUAAUGAUGACCCCUCCUAUGUCUUUCCCCUGACACUUUUGGGCCGGGGAAAGAAUCCAGCCCUAGACCUUCCCUCCCAGUCUUGAAAGGCUCUUUUCUGGAGGGUGUUGGCACAGCCUUUGCUGUGGUUACUAGCCAAAUGGGUUUUAGAAUCACAGAGGGACAGAUCUGGCUAACAUCAUGGCUAUCUUUGAUCCAACUCAUCCCGCCUGUCCAUUUUCCUUCCAAUGAAGACAUUUAGAGUUUCUUGUGCCCAUGGUAGGCAUUUGUGUGUGGCCUCUUGGUUGGCCUAGGCACAAGGCAUCUUAGAAACCAUACUGGACAAGCCUUCCCAUGGCUUUUCAUGGACUGGGGCUUCUGAGCAGACUCUCUUGGGUCAGAGGGUCAGGCCUGCUCAUCACUUGGCCAACUGAGCAGAAUCCAAGCUUUGAAAAGCCAUGGGAAGGCUUGUCCAGUCUGGUUUCUAAGCAGAAAUCUGGUUGGGGCUUCUGAGAAGACUCUCUUGGGUCAGAGGAUCAGGCCUGCUCAUCACUUGGCCAACUGAGCAGAAUCCAGGCUUCUGGGAGGCAAGUCAAGGUAGCCCAUAGCUUCUUGUCUUUGUGUGCUCACUGGCAUCCUUGGUGUCAGCUGAUGUGUUUUAGGUGUGACCUAGGAUUCUCAAAGCUAGCUGACUCUAAAGGAGUCAGCAGAAAUCCCAGAAGACCACCCUGAGGCCUCAGUUUUUAUCAGGUUGAAAUUAUAGAACAACUAAGACUUUAUGUACAUUACAACCUCAGGCCUCUGAGUCUAGACCUGUUCAGCUUACAGGAGAGGAUCUGGUUUUUCAUGGAGUUUCCCAGUUCCACACAAAUCUCAUUUGCCCUGUUACUCUGAUAAUCAUGACUCAGUCCUGGAAGUCACUUGCUUACUGCAGUUCUCAAGCCUCAGCAGCCGUGGGCCCAACGAGGUACCAUAGUCACCAAGGCUUCUGCCCAAAGGUGUCAGGACAAACCUCAUAGGUCUUCUGGGCAACACUAGUUGGAACACCAUGGAAACAUGGUGAGUGUGUUCACUUCUGUGAAACUCCUAGCCAGGGGCUCAAUGACCAAUUCUCUCUCUCUCUCCCUCUCUCUCCCUCUCUCUCUCUCUCUCUGUCUCUCUCUCUCUCUGUCUCUCUGUCUCUGUCUCUGUCUCUCUCUCUCUCUCUCUCUCUCUCUCUCUCUCUCUCUCACGCACACACACACACACACACACACACACACCAUUUUUUUUUUCAGUAUUGGUGUUCCAGAAAACUGGGCCCAAGCUAUUGAAUGUCCCCUGUACCCUUGGUUGGGUUGAGCCCAGUAGGCCAAACACAAUCUUCCUUACCUCAGAAAAUGCCUUAUGGUUUCUUCUAGAUCCCUUUUCUUAACUCGACUCUCUUAUCUAAGAGUCUCCAAGACCUCUUUUUCCCCUCAUUCUUGAACUAUAGUGGGGGUUAGAUUUGGAUCCCUAUUUCCCUUGGCAUUGCUUGGGUUUUGUGGGGUUUCCUUUUUCUCCCUCAUCCAUUUGGUGGAUCCAAAUAGAUCCUUAAGACAGGAACAGGGCUCAGCCGAAGAGAUGGUAGCACCCAGGUCUCCUCAGAGACAGGUGAGGAGUAAGGCCCAGCAGAGGCUGCUCCUGGCUCAGGCAUCUCAGUGUCUUCAGAGCAGGGCUAGGGACAGAGUCAAGGGCAGUGAGGUUUGUCUUUCCCCAGCAGUGCCUGGCCCUACUCAGAUGUCCUCAUUCUUCAGUGAGAUAGCCCAUUGCCUACUUUGUUCUUGCUUCUUUGGUUAUUAAAAUUGCUUGAGACUGGUUUAAGAUGGACUGUUUAAAAAAAAAAAAAGAUGAGUGGGACGUUGAUGGUGCACGCCUUUAAUCCCAGGACUCAGGAGGCAGAAGCAGGCAGAUCUCUGUGAGUUCGAGGCCAGCCUGGUCUCCAGAGGGAGUGCCAGGAUAGGCUCCAAAGCUACACAGAGAAACCCUGUCUCGGGGAAAAAAAAAAAAAAGAUGGAACUGUUCAUGACAAACAAAAGAAGCAAAAAAUGGAGGUUGUCUGACCCUCAUAGACCAUAGAGCUAUAAGAAUGUCUUUUGGGGGCUGGAGAGAUGGCUCAGAGGUUAAGAGCACCGACUGCUCUUCCAGAGGUCCUGAGUUCAAUUCCCAGCAACCACUUGGUGGCUCACAACCAUCCGUUAUGAGAUUUGGUGCCCUCUUCUGAUGUGCAGAUAUACAUGGAAGCAGAAUGUUGUAUAUAUAAUAAAUAAAAAUCUUUAAAAAAAAAAAAAAGAAUGUUUUUUGGAGACACCCUUUCUAGAAUCUUUCAAACUACAGGCCUUUUAUAGAUGCUGACACUGGAGUACAGAGAGGUUAAAUCACUUCCCCAAGGCUCUACCAGAAAGUGGUAGCCUAAGAUUCCACCAGGAGUGUGACCUACAGUCCACGUGCACCUCACUGCUAUUGCUGUCAAAGAACAAUAUCCCAAAGCGUAGGCUCCAGAAUCAGGCUCAGAAGGGAAGUUUCUCUCUAGUGUCACCAGACCUCUCAUGCCUACGAGGUGAAUCACAGAAACCAGAAUUCUUUCUGUAAGCCCCUCUCCUGAGGACCUCCAACCACAGGUUCUACCCAGAGAACACUCUGCCAGCCAUAACUUCAGCCCCCUAACCCCCACCUCAAGUCCCAGGCAGCCAAGCUGCACCCUAUAGAGUAAAAAGCCCAAGAUCAGGCUACAAAAUCCCACCAAUCCCAGGCCACCUUGGAAAGCUCCACCCAAUCACCAUCCACAAGAAACCCUAUAUGAAGCCUACCUACAGCUCAGUUCUUUUCUGAUUCUCACUGGAGAGAGGAAGCCAACUUCCUGUGUGGUUUUUUUUUCCCCCAAUAAAUCUCUUGUGUGAGGUUUGUUGUGUGAUGUGACUUAGUGGUAUUCCUUGGCUCCCAACUGCCAAGAUUUUGUCUCUGCUCAAUGAUCUCUUUCACACGCUGAUCUCACAGCCUGAGCUUACAGCCCACCUUCUCAGAACUCCCUUCAUUUUCUACUGCAAGUUUGGCCUUAGCUGUGAAGGAUUUGAGAUUUCUAAAAGAAAAUGGCUCAGUAAGCAUACAUGCUGCCUUUGUAGAGGACCCAAGUUUAUCUCUCAUCACCUACAUCAGAAGGCUCACAACUGCAGGUAACGCCAGCUCCAGGGAAUCCAGUGCCUUCUCCUAGAUUCUGUGGGUACCUGCACUCACAAAUGCGCAGACCCGCAAGCAUACAUACACGCAUACUUAAAUAAAAUGAAUCUUUUUUAUGGUACUGUGAGCUAUUAAGUGGAAAUGAUAUGAUUAAAAGAGCCAGCACAACAGAGAAGGGUCCCAGAGACCCUUCAGCAGGACAGCCUAGCCGUCCAUCUGGGGGGGGGGGAGCCACGGGAGGAUGCCUAGAGGACAGAGAAGUCAUUCAGUUGACAGAGAGACAGUGUGGGAGGCAAGGUGGCCAGCAGGAUUGCGGGCUUCUCAGCUGGGCAAACAGCAGUGUCAGGAGUCAGUCGUGGCCGAGGAAGGGGAAUCUACUGGUGUGAUUCGCCCUUGACCCCAGGUUCAAUUUCUGCCUUGAAGGACAUGGAGCACAUCUUCCAAAUAUGCCCCCUCUCCAUGACACCUUGGUCAGAAUGAGAGGCAUCAGGCAUGCUUGCUAAAGGUAUCAAUUCCCAUUGCCGCUCAGAAUCUCAAGGAAUAAAAAGUGAAGCCCAGGAAUUAGGAAGAUCCUUGGUAUUAGAUAUUCGUGAGUCUUUUCUUCUGCUGUUUUCUCCUCUUCACUUUGAUGCUGGGAACAUGGGGGGCAGGGGACAGAGUUAGAGAGAAGAUAAUGUUUGGUUUUAGAGGUGCCUGCAGAUCUGUCAUAGGCAAUUUGAUGUGAAAAGCUAGAGCUUGAAAAGCUGUUUGGGCUGGGCAGACAGAACUGUGAGAAAGUACGUAGGGGGAUAAUUUGUAAUUGUAUGCAAUUUUUCUUUUGUCUUCUUCAGUAUAUGACCUUUACACACAGGCUGCCCUAGAAGCCAAAUGUCUGGGAAGAGAUUGGGGCUUGUUACAGGAGAAUUGCUUAGUAAAAGGCCAAGUUGAUAUUCCCUUUUGACAUUUAAAAAUGAGUGGAGCAAUACUCUUCAGGCUGAGAUACUAUCCUGAGAGAUAAUUCGCUAAACUCCUUUGCCUUUCUGUUCCUCUAUUGCUGAAGAAAAACAAGGCCCUCUACUGUCUCUAAAGCUGAAGUGAGAACUAGCAGAGGGUAAUCAUGGCCCAAGGGAUGUCAAUGUGAAAACACUAUUCAAAGGGGAUAAGAGAUAGUUUAUUCUGGAGUCAAAUAAGAGUGACCAAACCUCAGAGCACAGAUGUAAGAUACAUAUUCAACGUUCCAGUGUGGUUAACACUUUAAUAAAGCCUUUAUGGUAACAGAACAACAAAAAAAAAGUCUUAACUUAAGGUACUUUUCAAAUACCCUGGUGGAAACACUGGAGGAGUAGGCUAAAGCAAAUGGGGAGGAAAUGUCUGCUAUGGGCCUCAGACGCUGUCUGAUUUCACUCUUAGCCUUUUGGCUGGUGGAAGCGUUCCAAAAAGUUGUAGCUGUUGGUUAUCUGUUGGUCUCAAGGAUGUUGGGGUAGACACAAGGUGGCUACUAUAGCAGCUAAGGGCAGCCCCGAGAUAAUCUGUGAUGGCAUUCUGGACCUACAGCAUUCCGUCCUCUCCCACAGUCCCUGAGUCAGUUAAUUAACUUUGUAGAAGAUUCCAUGGAAGGUAGGGGUCUUUUUAGGAACUUUCAUUCCCAGGGAACUAGAAUACGGCCAGGCCCCUUUAAGACAGAAAGGGAAAUUGGGAGGAUGAAAUAGGAGGCAGAGAAUUCUUCUGUUAGUGACACUCAAGAUGGGGCUCCAUCAUCUAAGAGCCUCACUUAGCCACAAAGGCCUGGCUUAGCCCAGGCUAGACAGAUAUAGGUUCAAGGACGAGGUCUAUAAAAUGAUACAGUGAAGAGGCCGAGAAAUCCCUUCAGUCUGAAGAGUAAGGAGACCUCCAGAGGGCUCAUCUAUGAUCCUCAAGGCCAGGGGUCUCUUCCAAGGGAGCCAAGCUUUGCCAUCUGAAAAGGCUGAACAUUUGAAUCUAAGAAAGACCCGGCUAUCUAAGGAACUGUCCAUGUUAUCCAACCUGAAUAAACUCUACAAAAUAUAGGCUUUAUUUAAUUUAAAUUUAAUACAUAUUGAUGUUUUGUUUGCAUGCAUGUCUGGGUACCACAUGCAUGCCUGAUGCCCACAGCUCUGAUAAGGGCAUUAGAUCCCCCGGAGCCAUAGUAACAGAUGGUUGUGAGUCACCAUGUAGGUGAUGGGAAUUGAACCCAGGUCCUCUAAAAGAGCAGCCAACGUUCUUAACUGUGGAGCCAUGUCUCCAGCUCCCUUAUGUAAAAUUUUACUUCAAAUAUUAUUUAUGUGAGGUGUAGCCCUUUGAAUUUCAUGGAGGAUCUGCCUUGGUAAGAGUAGAAGAUGUAGGGGGAUUUUGACUUAGCUAGGAAAUAUGGGGGGACAGGGGCAAAACUCAAGGAGCAGGAGAUUCAGGAGAGAGACUGGAGAUGUGGUUCAGGAAGCCAGGAGAGAAGCAACAAUAACAAAUCUCCUGUUACAGGAGAAAGGGGAGAUAAAGAUGGAACAAGAACCAUUUGAUUGACAAUUAGGGGCCUGGGCUCAUCUUGCCCUACCUUUCAUAAAUGGAUGGGAUGUAACUGGUGCAGAAGAUUAAACACUGUCAUCCUGAAGUAAGAACAAUGGAUCUUUAUAAAUGAAGGUUAAAGGGAAGCUAGGGUCACCCUAGGCCUAAUUCCUGAAGCUUUAUCAGCGUAAUUUCUUGUUGAUACAAUUUUAUUAAUAUAUUUCUACUCAUUGACCAAAAAAUUAUGUUCAAAACAGUGACAAAUUUUAAAAAAAAUAACACAUUCAUUUUCCACAGCCUUACCUCUAAUACUUUUGUGAUCUUUAUGUGGCUGUAAUUGAUACAUAUUGCAUUAUACUUCAUUUUCUGAAAAUGGCCACAAGCCUGUCCUGGCAUGCUCUUCUGGGAGCCUGUCACUCUUUAUCAUACAGUGCUUUCCUCUCACCUAGCCACCAGAUGGAGCUAGGUGGUUUUCCAUGAAGAGAGGUGACAGUAAGUCUGUGUAAUUGUCAAGAUUGGGUUACACAGCUUAGUCAGUUUCUGCCUGGCUUUCUUGGAGGCUUCUGUCCUUGGAGUCCAGCCCUGAUGUCCUGAGAAAGCCCUAGCCAUUUAUAGUCCCUCAGCCAAUAGUUAGUCAAGGUCUCAGCUGAGACCAGUGUCACAAACAGGUGAGGGAACAGGCCCCUAAUGAAGCUUCCAGUGGUUCUGGCCUAGUGAAGUGCGGCUUCACAGUCCCAGACAAGUCUAUUGAACUGUUUUAUUCUGCUGGAAUUCCUGACCUGCAGUAAAUGGCCUUUUCAUGCCACCAAGUUUUAAGACAAUUUCGUAAACAGCCAUAGUAAGCUGGAGCACACACAGGGCUUUGUUUUCGUAACUUUUGCAUUGAUUAGUAUAAACAUUUUCUCGUGUUGCUGGAUAGUCAUCAUAAUUUCUCAAUUGGGUAACAAAAUAUUUUGAGUUGAUGCAGUGUGUUUAUUUAAAUAUCGUGCUAUUCUUGGCUAUUUAGAAGGCUUCUCAUCUCUCACUAUUUAACUGCUGAUAUAAAAAAAAAAGUUGUGUGUAGAGAUGUUUCUCUUUUACUGGAUUGCUUCACUGGGACACAUUCCCAGAAGUAGAAUUACAUUUGGGUAUGAACAUUUGCAUGGCAUCCCAAAUGGAGCACCAAUUACUUAUCAAAUACACCAAUAGAUUCUGCCAUCCAUUACGCUUGGCAAUAUCAAUACAUCAAAUCAUUCCAAUUUGUUUUGCAUUGAAGUAGAGCAUGUGCACACACACAAAUAUAACCAAAUUAGCACCACACCUCUACAAUAUUGUCUACAAUGUGUUAGACAUCCUCAUCAAUGUUGCUAACUUAAUCAACAGAAAUUGCAUUUUAUCAUUGCUUAGAAAGGAGAUUUUUCUAGAAAUUGCUUCCCACCCUAUCUGAAGAGUGUCUACAUUUAUUCUCUAUCUAAUAAUGUAUUUUUCAGAGCACUUUAAAAUCAUUGCUUUUAGCCAGACAUGGUGGCACAUGCCUUUAAUACCAGUACUUAGUAGUUAGAGGCAGGGAGGUCUCUUUGGGUUCAAGGCUAGCCUGGUCUACAAAGUGAGACCCAGUCUGAAACAAACAAACAAGCAAAUAAAUAAAUAAAUGGUUUUUUUUAAGAGCUGCAAAGUCACAAUCAAUUAAUAGACUAUGCAAAUGCAUUACUGUGGUGAACAUGUCUCCCUUCUAAUUAGUAGACUAUGAAAUGAAUUAAGUGCUUCCCAACCAGUAUUACAAAGAAAAUUGAUAUAGAAUGGCCUGGAAAUACCAGAGCCUUUUGCACUCAGUAAGGUAGUGGUGUGUGUGUGUGUGUGUGUGUGUGUGUGUGUGUGUGUGUGUGUGUGUGGUGUCUGAGCCUGGAGAGCUGCUUCUUCAGUUAAGAGUACUUGCUGUUCUUCCAGAGGACCUGAGUUCAGUUCCCAGCACCCACACUGGACAGCUCACAACUGCCUGCAUCUCCAGCUUCAGGGGACAGGAGUAUGCUGGUCUCCAUGGGCACCCACAUUCACAGGCAUAAACUGACAUGCAAAAUCACACACACACAUGUAACUAAAAAUAGUAAAAAUAAAACUUUUUAAAAAAUAAAAAUAUUGCCAGGCGUUGGUGGCAUAUGCCUUUAAUCCCAGCACUCGGGAGGCAGAGGCAGGCGGAUCUCUGUGAGUUCAAGGCCAGCCUGGUCUCCAGAGUGAGUUCCAGGAUAGGCUCCAAAGCUACACAGAGAAACCCCCGUCUCGCAAAACCAAUAUAUAUAUUCUUUGGGUGGGGAAAUGUUUCAAGACACGGUUUCUCUGUGUAAUAGCCCUGGCUGUCCUGGAACUCACUGUGUAGAUCAGACUGGCUUUGAAUUCAUAGAGAUCCAACUGCCUCUGCCUCCCAAGGGCUGGGAUUAAAGACAUGUGCCACCACUGCCUGGCUAGGAAAAAAUUCUUAGUGCAACAAAACUAUUUAAAAAAAAUCAGCCUUGGGCUGGCAAGAUGGUUCCAUGGGUAAAGGCACUUGACACUAAACUUGACAACCUGAGUUCAAUCCCUGGGACCCUCAUGGUGGAAGGAGAGACCUGGUUCUUGCAAAUUGUACAUGCACACACUAAAAGUUAUGAAAGAUUUAAAAUAUCAGCUCUAUAACUCUUAAUUAUUACCCUCUUUUUAUUUUUUUUAAAUUAUAAUUGGCAUUUUAUUUUUCCAAGAUAUCUUUCCUUCUCUCCUUGGGAAGCCACCUCUUUACAUGGGCUUUGGAGAGGUUGUGGUGAUCUAGCUCGGGCAGGUCUAGAUCAUGGUGGGGUGUUCAGUCCUUCCGGGUUUCUCUGGGUCAACUCCUGACCGGUCACCUUGCCAUGAAUAGCACAGCUCACCCAGUGAUGCAGCUUGAGAUAGAGUCUGGGAAGUACGGAAGUGUCAGAUACAUUUGCUUCGGAUUGUGUCCCUGAUGGCAGUGGCCUUCACAAUGUUCCGAAUGGCAAACUUGUAAAUGGCCUUGUCCUUGGGCGCCCACAGGGCACGGUGUGUGCAGUGAUUAGCUGCACAUGGCUGCGACCCCUUUGCACUAACGUCAUUACUUUUUUUUUUUUUUUUUUUUGUCAUCUUAGAGCCAAGACCCAAAAUACCCUCUUUCCCACUUUGAUGUAAACAUUUCCCAGCCUGUGACUUCCCUUUUUCUAUUGAAUGAUCUCUCUUUUGCACUGCUCCAAUUUUUCAUGAAGCAAACCUAGCCAUCCCUUCUAAUGUCUUAUUUCCGUUGAAAACAGAAAUUCAUCUAGUUUCUACCAAGGUGAUAAAUGAUCCAUCCUAUGUUUUGUCAACUCAGUCCUCUCAACAUUCUCUCAGUACCCCUUGAACUAGAAAUUUGCAUCAACUCAGCAAAAUGCAAACGAAGAGCUCUGCCACAAAUUUUAUUAUGGAGCCAGUGAAUGGAGCCCGUGAGGAUGGUGAGAACGCGUGUCCCACGCCACACUUCCAGUCAUCAGUUUCUGUGGCAUCAGCAAAAUGGUUGGUGGUGCAAAUCCUAAGUAAGCAAAUAUUGCAAUAACCCAGAGAUGACGACAGCAAAAGCUGGGGAGGAAGCCAGGUUGUAAAUCUCAGGACCCAUAGAAACACUCAGAAUUAAGACAUGAGAGUUGAGUUCUGGGACAAAAUUAUCAUAGCAGAGAGUGAUAGUGACUAUUGAACAAUUUUUGUUUAUCGAAGAGAAGUUCAUUUUUCCUAUCUGCCAUCUAUGGGGUCUGCCAUUAUUCUCAUUUUGUAGAUGAGAAACUCGAAGGGCAAAGGCUCUGUGGCUCGUCCAAGGUCAACAAGCUCAUCGGUGUCUGAAAUUUGAAUCUAAGCCUAUGCUGUUCGUUACUGGUCCCUGUGCCUCUCCCAUGGGAACCAAGGGCAGCUGAAGGAAGAGGGCAGAUUCCUGGAGGCAGAGUUGCUUACAACGUCGUGCUCUUAAGGGGAUAUUUGGAUUGCUCUGUGGGAACCUUCCACUGUGUCAUCUGGAAUGAAGACAGUCCCUACUGAGGUGAAGACUGGGGAUUUGUAUUCCAUCAGUGAUUCUCCUGGAUUCCAUUCAGAACACGACAAUUCAAAGAGAUGGCGGCUCAGGUCUGCAGCUGGGCAGUAUGGUCUCUUUCUCACUUGUGACAAGGAGACAAUCCUACUUUUGGCCUCCUGGGGUCGUUGUGAGACACAACCUGGCCCACAGCGAGUGGUAUUCCAGUACUUGUCAUCCUAUACUAUGGUCAUUUCUUCUGAACUGUUAUGUUUCCAACCUAGAUCUGUUCCCGUGCUUGGAUUCUAGGUGACUGUCUAGUGCAAAAGUUGUGUAUUUAAAUGGGGGUAAGGUUUAAUUUUAGUCCUUAUAGGUCGCCUAUGACCUCCUGGUAUUUUAUAUGUGCUUCUUCAUUUUGGAAUGCAUGGCAGCUGAGUGGAUGGCCAGAGGUCCCUGUUUACUCCUGCUAUGCCAGCACAAUUAUUGUUAGUGCCCUCCUUUCGUAGUUCAAAAUGCCCUUGCUGCAAAGAUAAGCCAUGUGGCCAGUCUAUUUGGAGAGCGACCCUCCCUAUGGUUACUGCUACAUUAUGGGAGUUUGGCCAGAGGCCCACAGCUUCCUAGGACAGUGGCUUUGAUAUUGUUUUUAUGUGAGGGCUCUCUUUUAAUCAUCCAAGGAAUCCUAUGGAGACUGUCUAAGAAUAAUUUUUGUUGUUGUUUGGUUUUUUGUGAUAGGGUUUCUCUGCAUAGGCCUGGCUGUCCUGGGACUUGAUAUGCAGACCAGGACAGCCUCGAAAGUCACAGAGAAACCCUGUCUUGAAAAACCAAAACCCAAAAAAGCAAAACCAAACAAACAAACAAACAAACAAAAACAAAGCCAAACAAGAAUCAGAACCUCUUUUCAAAUGAGAUGGUGUGUAAUUAAACAAAGUAAUCAAGAAGGACUUUAGGUCUAGUUGAGGUAGGGAUGGGAGGGGAAGAAAAAACCCACAUUCCAUUUUCCUUACUGCCCCCUCCUCCAGUCCAGAAAGGGAACCUCAGGCUUCCUUGUGGUUCCCCAUUGGAAGAUGAAAGUGUGGUCUGUAGUCCAGACAGUACACAGCUGACCAUUGGAAGUGUCCAAAAUGGUGUCCAGACUAACAGCAGUGCAGGCAACUGUCUUAGUUUCUUUCCCUGUUGCUGUGACAAAUACUCCAACUUAAGGAAGAAAUGGUUCAUUAUAGCUCACCGUUCUGGGUUACAGCUUAUCAUGGUGGAACAGGGUCUUGAAGCAGCUGGCCCCAUUGUGUCCACAGUCAGAAGGGACCAGUGAAUGCUUGUAUGCUUGCCACUUGCUCUGCUCAGCCUCUCUACACUUUUACAGCCCAGGAUCCCCGGCAGGGAAUGGUACUACCCACAGUGGUCAGGUCUUCCCACAUCACUUAAUAAACAAGGCAACACCCCACACACAUACCAGAAGCCUAUCUCCUCCUGUAGCAGUGACCUAUGGAAAAAGAAUGCUGUGCUAAAGCCCAUAGACUAAGCUCUAGUCUUAACUGUAACCACUCAGAUCAGCUGGCUGCCCUUCACAUAGUCAUUUAACCUCUCUCCUCUACAGAGCCUUGGACCAUUGAGAAUCUUUACUAAGACCAGUGUUCCGGUCCAAACCUACUGAGCCAUGCUAACUGGGAGGGAAGUCGCCUAUUUCUCUUGGGUGCCCAGGUCCAGGCCAAUAAGCCAAAGGCCCAUAUGGACUACACAGUGAAGUGGGCUUGCAGCCACCCUCUGCUCUGGACAUCCACUCCAUUUCUGACCUCACUCUAUACUCCUGCCCCACCUCUCCACUGUACUAAACUCUACAAGUCCCUGUGCCUCUCCUAGGGGAACCAAGGACAGAUGAAGGUCUAUUCUAUUCCUGUGGUCAAGGUCCCAUUCUUUAAUCCUUUUUGACUUGUACUCCAAAUUCAUCAAAACUUAUCUGACCCCUGGGCGGGGCCCCAAGGUUGGCCUUCCCUUCCCUGAGUUCCAGCUACCUGCAAGAUUGGGGCCCUGAUAGUUCAAAAUCUGUUGCUUCAUCUCUGACUGCCUCUCUCACAUCCUCAUACCAUUGGAAUGACUUCUACCUUAUGGAAAAUUAUGCUUGUCAUUCCUGAAUGAGCAAACUAGGAAGAGUCAGAGAGAAAAAACGGUUUAAAAAGAAAAUUCUGUUAAAAGGACUUGCUUGCUUUCUUCGGUUUAGUCACGUGCAACUGACCACUCCAAGUUUUCUAUGUCAAGAGUUAAGAAAACAGCAAUCCUCAUAAUAAUGAGGUUCGGAGUGUUUCAGGGAAAGGCCACGGGAUCAGGAGGUGGCACUGUUGACAAGCUGUAGGAUCUUCAGCAUAUCAUUGAGUUUUCCCUGAUUAAGUUCAUCUGUAAAGUGAGACUCAUGAUACAUAAAUCUCACAAGACUUGUGUAAGGACAAACAAAAUGGACCAAAAGCAAGUUUUUAUUAUUAAAAUGGGCUGUGGAUCUGAACAUAGAAUUCUGAAAAGAAGAAAUAAAAAUAGACAAGAAAUAAAUUUGAAAGUGUUCAGCAUCUUUCGGAAUUAGGAAAAUCCAGAUUAAAAUGCUUUGAGGUUUCAUCUGACUCCAGUGAGAAUGGCUAGGAUCAAGAACACAACAAACAAACUCGGGCGACUGUGUCAGGAAAGGGAAACCCUCGCUCACUGUUAGUGGGAUUGCAAACAGGUCCAGCCUCUAUUGAAAACCGUGUGGAGAAUUCUCAAAAAGCUAAACAUAGAUCUACUAUAUGACCCCGUUAUACCACUGCUUGGCAUAAAACCAAAGGGUUGGUCAUCCUACUACAGAGACACUUGCUCAGCCAUCUUCAUUGCCACUCUGUUCACAGGAGCUAGGAAAUGGAAACAACUUAAAUGGCAUUCAACUAAUAGACUAUGAAAAUCUGGUACAUAUAUGCAAUGGGAUUCUAUUUAUUGGAAAAGAAAAAUGAAAUGAUGAGAUUUGCAGGUACAUGGAUGGUACCAGAGAAUACUGUACUGAGUAAGGUAACCCUCAUCCCGCCCCCAGAAAGAAACACCAUAUGUUCUCUCUUCUUUGGUUUGAUGUAGCCUGAAGUAAUUGAGGCAGACAGAAAAAUAGAAAAGGAUGGUGUGGGUAAAGGGAGAGUGAGUUCUAGAGAGGGGCAUAGUAGGACGGGAGUUGCCUUGAAGGCGGCAGGAUGGGAAAAAUGAGGAGAGGUGUAACAAUAAGUCUUUACUACAACCUCCCAAGCCCUGCUGCCACAUGGGCUUUCUGCCAGGGCACCCGAGUUCUGCUCAAGUUCUGCCCGCCGCCACAUUACAUUAAGAUCCCAAGUAACGCACAGAGACUUAUAAUAGGUGCAAUGCUGCUGGCCAAUCCCUAGGAUUUCUUACUUGCUAGCUCAGUCUUAAUUAUCAUCCAUAAUCAUAAGACUUAUCUUAUGGAGGAUGCCUUUCACUGGCAUCUUCUUCCCUGGUCACAUGGCGAUUGCAGAGCAGAGAGCAG
rnacentral:lncRNA from 1 species